rnacentral:rRNA from 1 species
AGGGUUUGAUCCUGGCUCAGGAUGAACGCUGGCGGCGUGCUUAACACAUGCAAGUCGAGCGAAGCACUUACUUUUGAUUUCUUCGGAAUGACGAGGUCUGUGACUUAGCGGCGGACGGGUGAGUAACGCGUGGGCAACCUGCCUCACACAGGGGGAUAACAGUUAGAAAUGACUGCUAAUACCGCAUAAGACCCCGGCACCGCAUGGUGCAGGGGUAAAAACUCCGGUGGUGUGAGAUGGGCCCGCGUCUGAUUAGGUAGUUGGUGCGGUAACGGCGCACCAAGCCGACGAUCAGUAGCCGACCUGAGAGGGCGACCGGCCACAUUGGGACUGAGACACGGCCCAA